AACUUCGUCCCUCAACUUUCAGAUCGGUCAAUUUAAUCCCUCACUUUCAUUUUUUUAUCAAACUCGUCCUUAUGUUAAUAUGGUGCUCUUAUGCUGUUAAUAUGGUGCUCUAUUUUAGCAUAAGACUAAUGCAAAAAGUACAUUUUGCCCUUUGCUCAUCUAGGUCAAACAUUUAUGUACUCAUACUCCCAUAAUACAUACACAUAACAAUAUACCUUUU
rnacentral:lncRNA from 1 species